AGCGAACGCUGGCGGCAUGCCUAACACAUGCAAGUCGAACGAGACCUUCGGGUCUAGUGGCGCACGGGUGCGUAACGCGUGGGAACCUGCCCUUAGGUUCGGAAUAACUCCCCGAAAGGGGUGCUAAUACCGGAUAAUGUCUUCGGACCAAAGAUUUAUCGCCUUUGGAUGGGCCCGCGUUGGAUUAGCUAGUUGGUAGGGUAAAAGCCUACCAAGGCGACGAUCCAUAGCUGGUCUGAGAGGAUGAUCAGCCACACUGGGACUGAGACACGGCCCAGACUCCUACGGGAGGCAGCAGUGGGGAAUAUUGGACAAUGGGCGAAAGCCUGAUCCAGCAAUGCCGCGUGAGUGAUGAAGGCCUUAGGGCUGUAAAGCUCUUUUACCCGGGAUGAUAAUGACAGUACCGGGAGAAUAAGCUCCGGCUAACUCCGUG
rnacentral:rRNA from 1 species